UGCUGGAGUCCAAGUCAAACCAAGAUUCUUUAUUUCUGAGCUCAGAGAGAAUAACAGAGUUACACAGCGCAGUGGAGACAGUCUGAAUUCCUGAAGCAUUGAGUGAUUGGCACAUAUCUUUAUAGUUUCCUGUUCCUGGGCGGGACUUUAUUCAUACAAGGACACAGGUGCAAAUUGGUUUGCAACACAGGAUGAUAGUCCCAAGAACAGGAGCUUAUAAUAGGACAGUUUCACAAGGUUAGUCACAUACUCAGUUAUGUGGACACACAAACAAUUAACAUUUUCCAUUACAGAGUCUGAACAUUUUCAUGUCAUUAAAUCAUCAGUGGGCUACAAUGCAAAUGUCAACAAUGGAACUAAUGCAUCACAUCCAAAUAUCACUUGAUUAUCUGUAGUGCUGGAGGAAUGACACACCCAGAUAAACACACAAAGAGUUUUAAAAAAGGACCAUUUAAACACAUGGAAUCUGAUCUACUCUAUAUUCAAGCUGUAAACACAUUGUCAGUCAACAAUAUAAGACAACGGGAGCACUGUGUAUGUUCUCUGAUGAAUUGUAAGUCAAUGUGAUGUGAAAUAUCAAUAUACACGCUAAGAGAAGUAAUUUCUCUUAAAUGACUGUUAUGAGUAAUAUGUUUUCCCAGUCUGAGAUUUUCUAAGCCUUCUCCUCUGUGUGCAGUGUAAUGUUUUCUUUCAGGCUUCCUAAAUGGGCAAAAGCUUUGCACCCUGGGAGGAGUGGUAAGGCUUCUGCCCUGUGUGUAUUCUCUCAUGUCGUUUCAGCUCCCCCAAACGGACGAAACACUUUCCACAUUGGGAGCAGUGGUAAGGCUUCUCUCCUGUGUGUAUUCUCUCGUGUUGUUUCAGCUCCCCCAACCGGGUGAAACACUUUCCACAUUGGGAGCAGUGGUAAGGCUUCUCUCCUGUGUGUAUUCUCUCAUGUUGUUUCAGCUCCCCGAACGGACGAAACACUUUCCACAUUGGGAGCAGUGGUAAGGCUUCUCUCCUGUGUGUAUUCUCUCAUGAGCUUUCAGUUGUGCUUUCUGGUUAAAACUCUUUCCACACUGGGAGCAGUGGUGUCGUCUUGCUGGUUUGGACGUCCCUG